rnacentral:rRNA from 1 species
UACGUAGGUGGCAAGCGUUAUCCGGAUUUACUGGGUGUAAAGGGCGUGUAGGCGGGACUGCAAGUCAGAUGUGAAAAUUAUGGGCUCAACCCAUAACCUGCAUUUGAAACUGUAGUUCUUGAGUGAUGGAGAGGCAGGCGGAAUUCCGUGUGUAGCGGUGAAAUGCGUAGAUAUACGGAGGAACACCAGUGGCGAAGGCGGCCUGCUGGGCAUUAACUGACGCUGAGGCGCGAAAGCGUGGGGAGCAAACAGG